rnacentral:rRNA from 1 species
CCCCUUGACAUCCAGAGAAUUUAGCAGAGAUGCUUUAGUGCCUUCGGGAACUCUGAGACAGGUGCUGCAUGGCUGUCGUCAGCUCGUGUUGUGAAAUGUUGGGUUAACGUCCGCAACGAGCGCAACCCUUUAUCCUUUGUUGCCAGCACGUAAUGGUGGGAACUCAAAGGAGACUGCCGGUGAUAAACCGGAGGAAGGUGGGGAUGACGUCAAGUCAUCAUGGCCCUUACGAGUAGGGCUACACACGUGCUACAAUGGCGUAUACAAAGAGAAGCGACCUCGCGAGAGCAAGCGGACCUCAUAAAGUGCGUCGUAGUCCGGAUUGGAGUCUGCAACUCGACUCCAUGAAGUCGGAAUCGCUAGUAAUCGUAAAUCAGAAUGUUACGGUGAAUACGUUCCCGGGCCUUGUACACACCGCCCGUCACACCAUGGGAGUGGGUUGCAAAAGAAGUAGAUAGCUUAACCUUCGGGAGGGCGUUUACCACUUUGUGAUUCAUGACUGGGGUGAAGUCGUAACAAGGUAGGCGUAGUGCU